rnacentral:rRNA from 1 species
UCCAGACUCCUACGGGAGGCAGCAGUGGGGAAUAUUGCACAAUGGGGGAAACCCUGAUGCAGCGACGCCGCGUGAGUGAAGAAGUAUUUCGGUAUGUAAAGCUCUAUCAGCAGGGAAGAAAAUGACGGUACCUGAUUAAGAAGCCCCGGCUAACUACGUGCCAGCAGCCGCGGUAAUACGUAGGGGGCAAGCGUUAUCCGGAUUUACUGGGUGUAAAGGGAGCGUAGACGGUGAUGCAAGUCAGAAGUGAAAGCCCGGGGCUCAACUCCGGGACUGCUUUUGAAACUGUGUGACUGGAGUGCAGGAGAGGUAAGCGGAAUUCCUGGUGUAGCGGUGAAAUGCGUAGAUAUCAGGAGGAACACCAGUGGCGAAGGCGGCUUGCUGGACAGUAACUGACGUUGAGGCUCGAAAGCGUGGGGAGCAAACAGGAUUAGAUACCCCGGUAA